AGAGUUUGAUCCUGGCUCAGAUUGAACGCUGGCGGCAUGCCUUACACAUGCAAGUCGAACGGCAGCACAGGUGCUUGCACCUGGUGGCGAGUGGCGAACGGGUGAGUAAUACAUCGGAACGUACCUUAUCGUGGGGGAUAACGCAGCGAAAGCUGUGCUAAUACCGCAUACGCCCUGAGGGGGAAAGCGGGGGAUCGAAAGACCUCGCGCGAUUAGAGCGGCCGAUGCCUGAUUAGCUUGUUGGUGGGGUAAAAGCCCACCAAGGCGACGAUCAGUAGCUGGUCUGAGAGGACGAUCAGCCACACUGGGACUGAGACACGGCCCAGACUCCUACGGGAGGCAGCAGUGGGGAAUUUUGGACAAUGGGGGAAACCCUGAUCCAGCAAUGCCGCGUGAGUGAAGAAGGCCUUCGGGUUGUAAAGCUCUUUUGUCAGGGAAGAAACACCGGCUCUAACACAGUCCGGGAAUGACGGUACCUGAAGAAUAAGCACCGGCUAACUACGUGCCAGCAGCCGCGGUAAUACGUAGGGUGCGAGCGUUAAUCGGAAUUACUGGGCGUAAAGCGUGCGCAGGCGGUUAUACAAGACAGGCGUGAAAUCCCCGGGCUUAACCUGGGAAUGGCGCCUGUGACUGUAUAGCUAGAAUGUGUCAGAGGGGGGUAGAAUUCCACGUGUAGCAGUGAAAUGCGUAGAUAUGUGGAGGAAUACCAAUGGCGAACGCAGCCCCCUGGGAUAACACUGACGCUCAUGCACGA
rnacentral:rRNA from 1 species